rnacentral:rRNA from 1 species
AGAGUUUGAUCCUGGCUCAGGAUGAACGCUAGCGGCAGGCUUAACACAUGCAAGUCGAGGGGCAGCGCGUUGUAGCAAUACGAUGGCGGCGACCGGCGAAAGGGUGCGUAACGCGUGAGCAACCUGCCCGUAUCCGGGACAUAAGCGGUGGAAACGCCGUCUAAUUUCCCAUAACAACGAGGGCCGCAUGGUCCAUGUUUGAAAGAUGCGUCGGAUACGGAUGGGCUCGCGAGACAUUAGCUAGUCGGCGUGGUAACGGCACACCGAGGCGACGAUGUCUAGGGGUUCUGAGAGGAAGGUCCCCCACACUGGAACUGAGACACGGUCCAGACUCCUACGGGAGGCAGCAGUGAGGAAUAUUGGGCAAUGGGCGAAAGCCUGACCCAGCAACGCCGCGUGAGCGAAGAAGGCUUUCGGGUUGUAAAGCUCUGUUAUAGGGGACGAAGAGCGUGACGGUACCCUAUAAGGAAGCCCCGGCUAACUACGUGCC